UACUUUUAUUUUAUAUAGAAUAAAUGUUUUUGAUUCAUUAGGAUAAAGUAU
rnacentral:tRNA from 1 species